rnacentral:lncRNA from 1 species
AUCAAGCGAGAAAUCUUGAAAAAAAAAUAGAGAAGAAAAGAGUUGGGAAGAAAAUUUUAGAAGAGUAUAGGUUCUGAAGGAUUUUCGGGAGAACAACUUCUGAGUAGGAAACUAAGUCUGGAGAAGAGGUAAGGGGAGCUAACUUUUUAAAUUUUUUUUUAUAUAAAAUAUUUUUUUUAAACUAUUUAUGUCUUGAAAUUUUGUGCAAUUACUAUUAAUGAAAAACCUGUGUUCUUGUUGUACAACUAUUUGAAUUUCUGUGAUAAUAUUAUAUGUUGUUGUUUUGAAUCUGUGAAUAAGAAAUUUGUUAACAACACGUUGAGGAACACUUUGGCUAAGGAAAGACCUGGUACUUAAGUUGUCCAUUGUAACGCACCACUCUUUCUUGGAAGUCAACUCAAUGUGUUUUUAACUAAUUCUUAUCAAACAGAUUAUAUUCUGUUGAUUUUAUUUUUUUGUAAAAUACUCAAUGGAUAUGAAAUUUGUGUUGAAUGAAUUAUAUUAUGUUGGAUGUGAACUUUAUGUAUUUGAACAUAGUAAGAGUUUGGUAGAGAGUGGGGAAUCCUUACCCAAGAUCCAUCUUGAGAAGUUGGACAGAGUAGGAAGGAUUUAGCUUCAGUGGUUGUAUUUAUAUCCGAAGAUCUAGUUUGAGGGAUAGAGUAGGAUAAGAUAAUUGAGCUAGCAAGUAAGUGCAUCCAUAUCCAAAGAUCCACUUUGGGGGACAGAGUAUGAUAUGAUGUAUCUGAGUAAAUUACCACUACACGCGUAGAACCUAUUUAGAGUUCGAUAUUCAUACGAUUAUUUGAAGGAGUUGAGUUUAUGAUGAUCAUGGUGUGUUUAUUGUAUUAUUAAGAGAUUUAACUUAUAAGUUAGAAAUUAUAUUAUUAAUUUAAAAAUAUCAUGUUAUUUUGUUGCAUUAGCUCACCCUUGCUUUAUUUGUUGUUUGGGUGUUAUUGUUGUGUUGUGUGUUUUCUCUCGGCGAUGAUCAUCUGGUGGGUGUGAGCAGAAAGUGGUGAGACGCUGGUGGAACAGACGUUAAAUGGAGGAUCGGCUAGUGUUUAGCUCUUAUGGACGAGAUCCUUGUUUUAAUCGUUUUAAGUUUGGAUUGUAUUAAGUUUACAAUUUGAGUGAUGGUUUGUAUAUUGAGGAAAACUUUU